CAGCAGCCGCGGUAUACGUAGGGUGCGAGCGUUAAUCGGAAUUACUGGGCGUAAAGCGUGCGCAGGCGGUUCGUUAAGACAGAUGUGAAAUCCCCGGGCUUAACCUGGGAACUGCAUUUGUGACUGGCGAGCUAGAGUAUGGCAGAGGGGGGUAGAAUUCCACGUGUAGCAGUGAAAUGCGUAGAGAUGUGGAGGAAUACCGAUGGCGAAGGCAGCCCCCUGGGCCAAUACUGACGCUCAUGCACGAAAGCGUGGGGAGCAAACAGGAUUAGAUACCCGCGUAGUCCCUGUCUCUUAUACA
rnacentral:rRNA from 1 species